GACCAGCCGUUCGUUUCGUCUCCUCUCUUAUCCACUCACUUUCCCCACAGGCAAAGCAGUAGCUCCUCCACGGCCGGCGAACACCGCGAUGUUGAUCUGCUUGCUUGUCGGAGCGGGAGGGUUUGCUCCGUGCUCGUCCCAUCGCGGCGCUCGUGAGCGAACUGCGCACCAACCCUGCGGCCACGACGUCCCUCGCCCCGCGCGGCGCUCGUAGGCGAGCUGCGCGCCGUUCCUGAGGCCGCAGCCUCCGUCGCCCGGCGCGACGCUCGGCGGCGAGCUGCGCGCCGUUCCUGAGGCCGCAGCCUCCGUCGCUCGGCGCUGCGCUCGUUGUCGAUCUGCGCGCCGUUCCUGAGGUUGCAGCCUCCUGUCGCCGGGCGCAGCGCUCGUCGGCGAGCUGCGCGCCGUUCCUUCUCGGCGGUCACCUUCGUGGCCCUAUUUGUCACGUUUGUCGCGCCCCAGCUACUGAGCUUCGUCCAGCACGUACCAUAACAUGGCUGCGAAGACUUGCCGUGGUUGAAGGACUGGGAGAAGACAUUGGAUCAGAGAGAGGGAAGAACGCAAUGGAAGACAUAGCUUACAUUUGGGGAAUCUGAUUCCUCAUUGGUCCCGGCAAGAAUUGGUGAAGACGCCAUCAAGUUCCUCGUAUCCCUUUGUUGGAUCUAUAUUUGUAGAUAGAUUUGAUGGAGGUGUAUGAUGUGGUCUGUUUGGAGUAACUGUGUACGGGAAAAGUUCACCACUAAUGUUUUGGCGCGCAAGAGUGAUUUAUUUCC